rnacentral:lncRNA from 1 species
AAAAUGUUCGUUGCAACCAGGUCGAGUUUGGGAGUCGGUUAUGCAAGAGGAAGGUGUUAACACCCCUUACAUCCGUUAUACUCAACUGGAACCUUUUAGUUAAAUUUGCGAUUAAAUGUUAGUGUGUUAAUUGUUUUCUUCUACUUAUUGAGUGAGAAAAGGAAGGAAAGGAAAAUGUUUUUGGGUUUUUAUUAAUGUGAAAAGAAGGGGACUAAACCUAAGUUUU